UCUCAAUGUGACUCCCUGUUUAAAUAAAGGUUAAUAAAUAAAAGUAUUAGAGAAAAUCUGAAAAAAAUGGACCCCUCUGAUGCUGUACGUUACAUCGUGUUGUGUCACGACGUAACGAACAGCAGGUAACCUAGUGGUUCGAGUGUAGGGGGGUAGGUAGCCUAGUGGUUAGAGUGUAGGGGCGGUAAGUAGUCUAGUGGUUAGAGUGUAGGGUGGUAGGUAGUCUAGUGGUUAGAGUGUAGGGGGGGUAGGUAGCCUAGUGGUUAGAGUGUAGGGGCGGUAAGUAGUC
rnacentral:lncRNA from 1 species